GAGCUGCCUCCUGGCCUCGAGUCGCUGCCGAGCGGGGCAGCGUGCCUGGGGAAGGAUGGAGCCAGCCCCUCCGGCGGUGCCAUGACUCCAGCCCCGUGAGCAGCUCUUGGAAGGGACCUGGCAAUCGAUGCACUGCACGGGAAAACACAGUGGGGAAGCAGAGCAAAGGGAAAAUACACCCCGACGGCACUGGACAAACACUUAAGCCAGGACGACCUUGGCUUUCCGUGGGGAAAUAAUGUGCUAGUUAUUUCAUAGUUUAGUUUUAUAAUUAGUUGCACAACAAGAACUGGCUAAAUUGAAAUCUUUGCUCUCAGCUAGCGUAACGGAGCUGGUUUUGAGGCUACCGUCUUUGUGGCCUAGAACAUUUUCCCUACUCUUAAAUGCAACAGAUAAAGCUGCCGUGCUGCCCCAAGAGCUCUGCUUUUCCCCCGAAGUGGUGAGAGGACCGGUGCAGGGAUGAUGCGUCAGCACAACUUUCUGCAGCUCUCCAAUCCCCCAGCCCUCCUGGAGGACCAGAAACUGAGAGAACAAAACUUAGGUGAAUCAGAAAAAAAAAAAAAACCAAACUCAAAGGUUGGUUGGACAGAGAUUGGUCUAAUUUAUCAUUGUGCAAACUCACCCUAGGAGCGAGGAUGUUCUUGUAUAUUCGUCAAUCAUACACUGGACGUUUUAGGGAACCCUACUCUUACAAACCCUGGCUGUGAAUCCUAUAAAGAAACACAUAUUAUACAAUUAGGGAAAGCUUGCAUAAUUGCAAUGCAUGCAUGAAAACAAUGUUGAUUGUUUUGUACAAAGUGUUUUUUAAAGAUUUAAAAUUAGCACA